rnacentral:rRNA from 1 species
UACGGAGGAUCCAAGCGUUGUCCGGAUUUAUUGGGUUUAAAGGGUGCGUAGGCGGAUAAUUAAGUCAGUGGUGAAAUCUUGCGGCUCAACCGUAAAAUUGCCAUUGAAACUGAUUAUCUUGAGUACAGUUGAGGUGGGCGGAAUGUAUCAUGUAGCGGUGAAAUGCGUAGAUAUGCGGAAGAACACCGGUGGCGAAGGCGGCUCACUGGACCGGUACUGACGCUGAUGCGCGAAAGCGUGGGGAGCAAACAGG